rnacentral:rRNA from 1 species
GGACUACUGGGGUAUCUAAUCCGGUUCGCUCCCCACGCUUUCGCGCCUCAGCGUCAGAACAGGUCCAGCCGGCCGCUUUCGCCACUGGUGUUCCUCCCGAUCUCUACGCAUUUCACCACUACACCGGGAAUUCCACCGGCCUCUCCCUGUCUCCAGUUCGCCAGUCUCCAGCGCCCCCUCCCAGGUGAGCCGGGAGAUUUCACACCGGACGGAGCGAACCGCCUGCACGCGCUUUACGCCCAAUAAAUCCGGACAACGCUCGCCACCUACGUAUUACCGCGGCUGCUGGCAC